GUCAUUUUACAAUAAAUGUAUACUAAUUAAAGCCUACUGUGUUUCACAUACAACAUAUAGGUUUUGGCUAGAUUUAAAACAAGAAAAAGAGCAACUUUAGAGAAACAAGGCAACAUUAUAUAUGCACUUUUAUAGCGGCAGAAAGUUAUUUAAGACCCGUUGAAUUGCGUGUAAUAAAGAUUUAAAUGCAAAAGGCAUGAGAGUCGACUGUUUCUGUCAGUGGUGAGUUUUAAUUUUAAAUGUUUGUGAUAGCCUAACAAGAAAAGUAGGCUAAUGUUGUUUUUAAAUGUGUUCCAGCUUGUUUCAGAAACUUGUUAUAAAAACCUAGCAGUCAAAUGCAUGAGUAAUAAGUUGUUUAUAUUUGAAUUUAAAUAUGUGAUGUGGUUGAGGAUUUGAGAUUUGGAUUUUCUCAGAAAAAAAGAAUGAAGGACUUUCCAAAGACAUUUUUCCAACUGUAAUUGUUGACUAAAUGUAUAAUCAAGUGAAAUA